rnacentral:rRNA from 1 species
GACGAACGCUGGCGGCGUGCUUAUCACAUGCAAGUCGAACGGAAAUGCCCUGCUUUUGUGGGGUGCUCGAGUGGCGAACGGGUGAGUAACACGUGAGUAACCUUCCCUUGACUUUGGGAUAACUUCAGGAAACUGGGGCUAAUACCGGAUAGGAGCUCCUGCUGCAUGUUGGGGGGUUGGAAAGUUUCGGCGGUUGGGGAUGGACUCGCGGCUUAUCAGCUUGUUGGUGGGGUAGUGGCUUACCAAGGCUUUGACGGGUAGCCGGCCUGAGAGGGUGACCGGCCACAUUGGGACUGAGAUACGGCCCAGACUCCUACGGGAGGCAGCAGUGGGGAAUAUUGCAAGAUGGGAGGAAGCCUGAUGCAGCAACGCCGCGUGAGGGAUGACGGCCGUCGGGUUGUAAACCGCUUUCGCCUGUGACGAAGCGUGAGUGACGGUAAUGGGUAAAGAAACAACGGCUAACUAAGUG